GGGGAAUAUUGGGCAAUGGAGGCAACUCUGACCCAGCAACGCCGCGUGAGCGAUGAAGGUCUUCGGAUUGUAAAGCUCUGUCGCAGGGGACGAAGUAUGACGGUACCCUGUAAGAAAGCCCCGGCAAACUAC
rnacentral:rRNA from 1 species